rnacentral:rRNA from 1 species
UACGGGGGGGGCAAGCGUUGUUCGGAAUUACUGGGCGUAAAGCGUGCGCAGGCGGUUCGUUAAGUCAGAUGUGAAAGCCCCGGGCUCAACCUGGGAACUGCCUUUGAUACUGUCGAUCUGGAGUAUGGAAGAGGUGAGUGGAAUUCCGAGUGUAGAGGUGAAAUUCGUAGAUAUUCGGAGGAACACCAGUGGCGAAGGCGGCUCACUGGUCCAUUACUGACGCUGAGGUGCGAAAGCGUGGGGAGCAAACAGG